rnacentral:rRNA from 1 species
GACGAACGCUGGCGGCGCGCCUUACGCAUGCAAGUCGAACGGAGUACUCCUUCGGGGGUGCUCAGUGGCAGACGGGUGAGUAACACGUAGGUAACCUGCCCAAGAGUGGGGAAUAACUCUCCGAAAGGAGAGCUAAUACCGCAUACGAUGGCCUCGUACAUCGAGGUUCUGAAAGCAGCAAUGCGCUCUUGGGAGGGGCCCGCGGCCCAUCAGCUAGUUGGCGGGGAACGCCCACCAAGGCUACGACGGGUAGCUGGUCUGAGAGGACGACCAGCCAC